CAAAGGGCUGAUCAGCGAGGGGUAGCGAUGGCCAAUAGCUCUGGUGUGUGAGCUUCCCCCGGGGGGCACGGCAAGAGGAAGUUUGAAUUGAAUUAAACAACAAGUGUGACUUGACUUCUGCUUGGCUGCAGCCCUCACGCCUCUACGAGGAACUGGAGCAGCCUCGUUUAGUAAACGGAGGUCGAUGCGGCAUUGCUUGCCAGUGAAUCUUCGUGGGUUUAUUUAUUUUAACUAACUCGGCCAAACGAAUCGCGGCCCCUUGUUGACUCUGGCUGCAGAGGCGGAGGAGACGCAGGAAGACCAGGGGGAGGAGGCGAGGAGAUUUCGCCCAGAGCUUGCAAGGUUUCAUGCCUGCAAUGACUGCGUGCAGUUGCGUUCACCCCACUCCAACCUCCCUGGUAAAGAGCACCCCAGCCCCUCAUCACUCCGUCCCUCGCCAGACGUCAGGCUUCCUUGCAAGGCGUGGCAGACUAUGGGCAGCAGCUAAGAAAACCUAACCUUUCGAGAUCCCUUAGCACCCAGUCGGGUGCUUCAGGAAACCCGUUCAGCCCUCGGGCCGCCUGCACAACAGAAAGAGCGUGCGAUGAUCGUUUCAAACAGUGUGAGGAGAUUUCCAAAGUUUACAAGAUUAGAAAGCCCCGAGGAUCAAUCCUUCCUUCCAGGCAGGACAGAGGAGUGAGUCACAGUGCUGGAGCACAGCUCGCGCUGAUGUGGAGCCAUCGCUUUGUUUAUUUUUCUAACGUCUGCCCAAAUUCCAGCAAUCCAAAGAGAAGUAACAGCCUUUUCCAUGUGUUUAUCAUCGGGGUUGCAACAGGAUUCGCCUCAAUUGUUCUGCCUUUCUUGUGUUUUCCUUUCUUCCCUCUUCUGCAUUUCCCAGAUACAUUUGCUCUGGUUGCAAAAAUAAACAGCGGACUUUUUAACAGCAAUUUGAGAUGAUAAUGGCUAGCGAUCCCAUUCUUUCCAUCAUAAUCUUCAAGUGGUUUAAGAUUAAUGAUAGGAGGUGUUUUAGCAAGAAGUGUAGGGUCUCUUCUCCAACGACCAGCGCUAUGAUAAUUUACUUAAGAUGUUGACAAGACUGUCAGUAAGGCUAAUUUUUUAUUAAGCUGCACCGAGGUAACUGUAGUAAGCAUUUUAUUUUUUUUAAAGUAAGGUACAUUAAUUUUAUGAGUGUCUUCCCACAACUGUUAUUUGGUCUCUGGCUGAUGCAUUUGCAAUUGAAAUGCUGCUCCUUGCCUUUGUUUCCAGAAAGGUGUUUUCUGCUGUUCAGUUAUAUAUUCCUCUCCCCACCUCCUCCUCCCUCUACACACACACGUUUAAAAAAACGAAAAUAAAUUUGGGGAGCUA
rnacentral:lncRNA from 1 species